rnacentral:rRNA from 1 species
GAUGAACGCUGGCGGCGUGCCUAAUACAUGCAAGUCGAGCGAACAGACGAGGAGCUUGCUCCUCUGACGUUAGCGACGGACGGGUGAGUAACACGUGGAUAACCUACCUAUAAGACUGGGAUAACUUCGGGAAACCGGAGCUAAUACCGGAUAAUAUAUUGAACCGCAUGGUUCAAUAGUGAAAGACGGUUUUGCUGUCACUUAUAGAUGGAUCCGCGCCGCAUUAGCUAGUUGGUAAGGUAACGGCUUACCAAGGCGACGAUGCGUAGCCGACCUGAGAGGGUGAUCGGCCACACUGGAACUGAGACACGGUCCAGACUCCUACGGGAGGCAGCAGUAGGGAAUCUUCCGCAAUGGGCGAAAGCCUGACGGAGCAACGCCGCGUGAGUGAUGAAGGUCUUCGGAUCGUAAAACUCUGUUAUUAGGGAAGAACAAAUGUGUAAGUAACUAUGCACGUCUUGACGGUACCUAAUCAGAAGGCCACGGCUAACUACGUG